rnacentral:rRNA from 1 species
AGUGAACGCUGGCGGUAGGCCUAACACAUGCAAGUCGAACGGCAGCACAGUAAGAGCUUGCUCUUACGGGUGGCGAGUGGCGGACGGGUGAGGAAUACAUCGGAAUCUACUUUUUCGUGGGGGAUAACGUAGGGAAACUUACGCUAAUACCGCAUACGACCUACGGGUGAAAGCAGGGGAUCUUCGGACCUUGCGCGAUUGAAUGAGCCGAUGUCGGAUUAGCUAGUUGGCGGGGUAAAGGCCCACCAAGGCGACGAUCCGUAGCUGGUCUGAGAGGAUGAUCGGCCACACGGGAACUGAGAAACGGUCCAGACUCCUACGGGAGGCAGAGGGGGGGAAUAUUGGCCAAUGGGCGCAAGCCUGAUCCAGCCAUACCGCGGGGGUGAAGAAGGCCUUCGGGUUGUAAAGCCCUUUUGUUGGGAAAGAAAAGCAGCAGGUUAAUACCCCGCUGUUCUGACGGUACCCAAAGAAUAAGCACCGGCUAACUUCGU